GCGGCCUAUCAGCUUGUUGGUGAGGUAAUGGCUCACCAAGGCGACGACGGGUAGCCGGCCUGAGAGGGCGACCGGCCACACUGGGACUGAGACACGGCCCAGACUCCUACGGGAGGCAGCAGUGGGGAAUAUUGGGCAAUGGAGGGAACUCUGACCCAGCGACGCCGCGUGCGGGAUGAAGGCCUUCGGGUUGUAAACCGCUUUCAGCAAGGAAGAAGCGAAAGUGACGGUACUUGCAGAAGAAGCACCGGCUAACUAUGUGCCAGCAGCCGCGGUAAUACAUAGGGUGCAAGCGUUGUCCGGAAUUAUUGGGCGUAAAGAGCUCGUAGGUCGUUUGUCGCGUCGAUUGUGAAAAUCUGAGGCUCAACCUCAGACCUGCAGUCGAUACGGGCAAACUAGAGUGUGGUAGGGGAGACUGGAAUUCCU
rnacentral:rRNA from 1 species